GGGUCGUAAACUUCUGUUCUAAGGGAAGAUAGUGACGGUACCUUAGGAGCAAGUCCCGGCUAACUACGUGCCAGCAGCCGCGGUAAUACGUAGGGGGCAAGCGUUAUCCGGAAUUAUUGGGCGUAAAGAGUACGUAGGUGGUUUUCUAAGCACGGGGUUUAAGGCAAUGGCUUAACCAUUGUUCGCCUUGUGAACUGGAAGACUUGAGUGCAGGAGAGGAAAGCGGAAUUCCUAGUGUAGCGGUGAAAUGCGUAGAUAUUAGGAGGAACACCAGUGGCGAAGGCGGCUUUCUGGACUGUAACUGACACUGAGGUACGAAAGCGUGGGGAGCAAACAGGAUUAGAUACCCUGGUAGUCCACGCCGUAAACGAUGAGCACUAGGUGUCGGGGUCGUCAAGACUUCGUGUUGCCGCAGUUCACGCAUUAAGUGCUCCGCCUGUGUAGUA
rnacentral:rRNA from 1 species